rnacentral:snRNA from 1 species
GUGCUUGCAUCUGCAGCACUUAUACUAAAAUGGGAAUGAUACAGAAAAGUUUUGAAUGCUCCCUGCACAAAGAUGACCUGUAAAUUUGUGAAGUAUUCCAUACUUAC